GCGAGAGUGGCGAAAUGGCAGACGCACCAGACUUAGGAUCUGGCGGGGGAAACUCCGUGCGGGUUCGACUCCCGCCUCUCGCA
rnacentral:tRNA from 2 species